UGGAAAUAAUUGAGUUGCAAAAAAAUCAACAUUCUUCCCUUGUUAGCCUUUUUCAUUUUUCCUUACUCUAUAUAUAAUAAUGUUUCUCAUAAUUUUAAGGAGAUUUUUAGAAAAAGAGAUUAAAAGUCUUAAAGAGUUUUUGAAAUAAUUUUUUCCCUUAACGUGCUAUAAAAGAAAUUGAAGCAUUGAUCACAGGAUAUAGGGAAUUCUUUCAUUUAUUUGUUUUGCACCAAUACUUUUUAUGUCAC
rnacentral:misc_RNA from 1 species